rnacentral:rRNA from 1 species
GCUUACGGCCACACCACCCUGAAUGCGCCCGAUCUCGUCUGAUCUCGGAAGCUAAGCAGGGUCAGGCCUGGUUAGUACUUGGAUGGGAGACCGCCUGGGAAUACCCGGUGCUGUAAGGU